rnacentral:tRNA from 1 species
GUCUGGGUGGUGUAGUUGGUUAUCACGUUAGUCUCACACACUAAAGGUCCCCGGUUCAAGUCCGGGCUCAAACA